GGUGGGUACGCCAGGCUGUGUUGAUAUCCUUUACACCAGUAUCUUGAACAAUUUAUUAUAGACGAAAUAAUACUGGUUUGUGCACCGAUCAUAUUCACUGUAAAUUAUUCCUGCUACAAAAGUAGGGGUACUCCAGAUAGUGGAGGGAAAAAGAAGAACAAUGUCAAAUAAAAUGCGUUGGAGAGAUUUGAGGGCCCAAAAUUCCGAAAAAUUUUUAACCAAACUUUUAAGCUAAGGUAAUAUAUGGGGUGGAAAAUCCUUAGUUUGAUGAUAGACCUUUUUGCACCAGUGUGAAGAGUUGGCUCAUUGGCAAUCACACCACAUCUUAUUUUAUAUUUUUCAAAGUUUAGUAACUAAGUUAAACAUAUAUAUCCCAUCGAACUUGAGAUAAGUCUGUAUCAUAUCUUAAUAAUGAGGUUCGUUUGAAAACAAAACUGUACGAAACAAAAGAGAUGUAUUAG
rnacentral:lncRNA from 1 species